rnacentral:pre_miRNA from 1 species
AAAAUACUCCCUCUGUUCGGAAUUACUCGUCCAAGAAAUGAAUGUAUCUAGAUGUAUUUUAGUUGUAGAUACAUCCAUUUUUGUGACAAGUAAUUCCGAACGGAGGGAGUACAUG